AGAAAUCUACCAUCUUGGCAGCUCUGGCAUAUCGGGGAAUGCCAACUUGAGUUCAACUUCAGAAGACACAAUAGGCUUCCUGGAGGGAAUAUAGAAGACCUCAGGAUACACACUUGGUCACUGGAUUGAGAUUCUUGAAUGUUAGAAGAAAGAUCCAGAGUUUCACUGACGAUCUCAAAAGGUGAUGAUGAUUCAUUAACAAAAUGGCUUAAAUUGUUUCAUCCAUCAGCCCUUCUCACUUCUUAGUUUUUGUUCAAUCUGCUGCUUCUGUCUAGAACGACUCAUUCAGCUUUAUCCAUCCUUCAAAUUUCAAUGCAAGCACCACUCUCUUCAAGAACCAUUCCAGACACCUUCUCCCUGCACUGUUGUGAGUAAUCUCAUCUUCCCCUGGAAUGAUGCUUGAUAUCCUAGUGGAUAUGAACUGUGUCUCAGCCAUCUCUACUGCUUUCAUUACGGCAUAGUCUUCUGAACAUGAUACAAACUCAUCCCAUGUUUCUGAAAUGGAUAUAUUUAAGACAAAAAUGUUAAUAGCACCUCCAGGAUGCUGGUUUCCAGGAUGAAUAACUGCCAAUGCAAAAAUUAGCAAAGUCAAGUAUAAAUUUC
rnacentral:lncRNA from 1 species